CUACGGGGUGCACCAGUCGAGAAUCAUUCGCAAUGCGCGAAAGCGUGACGAUGCGACGCUGCGUGGAGGAUGAAGGCCCUCGGGUCGUAAACUCCUGUCAGGAGGGAAAAGCCGGCACUUGGUCAAUACCCUUGUGCCCCGAUGGUACCUCCAGAGGAAGCCACGGCUAACUCUGUGCCAGCAGCCGCGGUAAUACAGAGGUGGCGAGCGUUGUUCGGAUUUACUGGGCGUAAAGGGUGCGUAGGCGGCGUGCAAAGCUGGAUGGGAAAUCCCGGGGCUCAACCCCGGAACUGCAUCCGGAACUGGCAUGCUAGAGACCAGGAGGGGAGAGCAGAAUUCUAGGUGUAGCGGUGAAAUGCGUUGAUAUCUAGAAGAAUACCGGUGGCGAAGGCGGCUCUCUGGAAUGGUUCUGACGCUGAGGCACGAAAGCGUGGGGAGCAAACAGGAUUAGAUACCCUCGUAGUC
rnacentral:rRNA from 1 species